rnacentral:lncRNA from 1 species
UGGGCAGUUUAUAUCUAGUGGUAGAGACAGACAGCAUAAACAACUGUGCUGAGCUCUGGGGACACACUGUUGAGCAGGACAGCAGGGCCACCCUUCAGGAAACUUAAGAAUCUCCUGGGAGGCAGAGCCACGUGAACCACCAAUGAGAAGACAAUGUGGCUUUGAUGGAAUGACUCGAGGAAAAGGAAAAGGUCACAAUUACUAGAAAGAACCCAAAAGGACACGAGAGAUGAAAUAGUUGGAAGACUUCUGUAAUAAAUGUUUCCUUACAAGAGCAGAGAUCCGGGCGCCGUGUCUGGGUAAUGUCUGCUCAACACAGCAGAAGGAUAAGAGGAAAUCUUUGGGAUGCCGAUUUGCCAAAGUCUGAAGGAGGAACCAUCUGGAACCAGCGGCACUACAAAUCCCACGUUCCCAGAAGCCUCAAGGAUUUCCUCGUGGGUCUGGGGGGUUAAUCUGACAAAUAGCAGUGGCUUUGGGACUCCCAGGGCACAGAGGUUGGGCCAAGGCCUCAUCCUUUCGUCCCUCCCUCCGGUGCACGCUGUCCACAGGCACAGCUCUCCACGUCAAGAGCCACGUACACAGGCGCGGACAGAUGCCAACAGAGUGUGAGCGUCCCCCAGGCUGCGGCCUCCCGAGCGGGGCAUCCCGACGCGGCCUGGUGCGUCCGCAAAAACUCCGCGGGACCCCGAG